rnacentral:rRNA from 1 species
GCGGAACUCGGGGGCGGCGGCCGGGGUAAGCCGGGGGGGGCAAGGGUUAGUCGGAAUCAGUGGGCUGAAAGGGCGCGUAGGCGGCUUGGCAAGUCAAAGGUGAAAUCCCUCGGCCCAACCGAGGAACCGCCUUUGAUACUGCCUCGCUCGAGGCCGGGAGAGGGUAGCGGAAUUCCCAGUGUAGCGGUGAAAUGCGUAGAUAUUGGGAGGAACACCAGUGGCGAAGGCGGCUACCUGGACCGGUUCUGACGCUGAUGCGCGAAAGCGUGGGGAGCAAACAGGAUUAGAUACCCCAUAGUC